GAUCAUCGCUCACGUCGGUGGCUGUUUGCUGAGUGCUCAGUUCUCCUCUUUAGAAACAGGCCGCCCCGCUCCCCGGCUGCCCUCAGGAAAGGAGAGGGGCGGCAUCCUGUCCAGGAGUGACAUUUCAGGGAGCCGUCCACCCUCUGUGCUCUCCUUCGACGACGUGUCGUGAGCCUCACCUGCCUCCGGCCCAGCAGCUUCCUGUUGUGGACGCACUUCUGCUCAUGCCGCCUGAGUCAGCAUCCCACGCAAUGGCCCUUCUGGCUCUUGGGACUUUAGAGCUGGCCUGGUCUCUCCAGGCCAACACUUGCAGUCCUCGGCCCUGAAAUCAAAGUCCGAACUGUCCACUCGUGCAGGCCUACGACCAGGGGUGAUCUGAGUGCUGAGCCUUCAUCACAUGCCUGGGGCUUGAGGAGGCGAGGCCACAGGUAAAGGUCACUCCAUGGUGCUACCUCAAAUGUCUUCUCCCAUCUCGCUGGCAUCGAGAAAAUCUGUGUCCUCUGUUGCAACAGUCUACACUCUAACCCAGGGCCGCCUGAUGGUUAUCAAACAUUUCCACAGUGGUCCAGCCAAAGCUACCUCAUGGAAACAAACAAAGCGAAGGUAGAAAGAAAAACCACCCUCUAAAGCUUUAGCCCUGGGUCUGAAGUCUGCCCAUUUUUUCUUUACAUUACGCACUGGCGUUACUCCCAUCAACACGCCUGUUUUGUUUUUUCACGGCCAUUUCUGACUAGGACCAGGGUCAAUGGAAAAGGUGUUUGUGGGAUGGACUGGACCAUAUCCUGGCCCCACCCUUCAUGGUUUUCCUUUAGAAAGCGCCCACUGCCUUAGGAGGACAGUAUUUCCAGACCUCAGUGGAGUGAAAACUUUAAUACCUAACGCCGAAUUCCUGCCUUUAAGAUACAAUAUGAGGAGAGGCCAAGAAGGGCCUGGUCCACGCCAACCAGGGGGAGCUGCCACCCGCGCGCGGCUCUGCGCAGGCCUCCGGCGCGCACAUCGGGCCUCCGCGGGGCACACCGGAGACUCCACGUUGGGCACUGCCGUCCCCCACGGGACACUCUCCGCCCCGCCCACCCACGGGCUCCACGCGGUGGGCUCCCCACGCAUGGCCCUCUCCGCGCGGGGCCCGCCAUCCUAGAAGGCCUCGCGAGCGCGGGCGUGGACUGCUCCGGCGGACCGCUGUCCGAGGCGCCGCGGGCCAUUCGCACGCCCUGCCCAGACAUCGGCCUUCGGCUUCCGCCGCCCCGUCCUUGCAGCCCCGAGUCCUCCCCGCCGGACAGCCCGUGGAGUCUCCCGCAGCGGCCUCGGUCCCCCGCCGGCUCCGCCCGCUCCCCGCUCUCAGCCCCUCCUUAAACCCAGUCUUGUCCCCAUUCCAGUUGGCUGGGGUGAAGGGCUGUAAGCGGGAUGGUGGUCAGCGGGUCCCCCUCAGGCUCCUCGCACCUGCAAAUGUGGUGGCCCGUCUCUCCCAGGCCUCAGCUCUGCUUCUCAGGAACAAACGUGCCUGGGCGUCCGCUCUGCCUGCACGGGGGGGACACGGGCAGGAGGAGGUGCCGCCUGGCUCUCCACACACCGGGACGGUGAUCAUGUGCGAAAGGACAGCCGAGACUGCAGUGCUGUGUGUGUGCACCGUGGCGCCUGCUCACACUGCUGCCUGCCGUCUAGGUGGGUGUUUUCCCACCGCAGCUCACAGCUCAUUAGAAACCAGUUUAGUGGACUGGAGCUGUCGCUUUAGAAACAACGAAAUAAAAUUGAAAAAUUAGGUGCAUCACAUGUACUAUGGACUAGAGUUUUUUAUGGCGAGUUGAGACUUUUUUAAAAAAAUAUAUUUUAUUGAUUUUUUACAGAGAGGAAGGGAGAGGGAUAGA